UUUCCGUAGGUGAACCUGCGGAAGGAUCAUUAAUGUGUUUGGGCCUCACGGCUCUUCAUUCCGACGCUGUGCGCCUUCGGGCUGCACGCUGAGGGAGCAUAUAUCCACCCCUGUGCACACACACGGUGGCGAGCUGGGUAACGGCUCGCCGCUGAUCUUUACACACGUCUAAAAGUCAUUGUAUGUUUAUUUGAGAUAAAAACACAACUUUCAGCAACGGAUCUCUUGGCUCUCGCAUCGAUGUAGAACGCAGC
rnacentral:misc_RNA from 1 species